CCCUUAGAUGUUCUGGGCCGCACACGCGCUACACUGAAGGAGGCAGCGUGUACUCCUGGAUCGAAAGAUUUGGGUAACCCGCGAAUCUCCUUCGUGCUAGGGAUUGAGGUUUGCAAUUAUCCUUCAUGAACGAGGAAUUCCCAGUAAGUGCAAGUCAUAAGCUUGCGCUGACUACGUCCCUGCCCUUUGUACACACCGCCCGUCGCUACUACCGAUUGAAUGAUUUAGUGAGGACUUCGAACUGGGACCGAUGCGGCUUUCGGGCUGCGUCGGUAUUCUGGAAAGAUGUCCAAACUGUAUCAUUUAGAGGAAGUAAAAGUCGUAACA
rnacentral:rRNA from 1 species